rnacentral:lncRNA from 1 species
UCCUUUGUUUCCUUUUCACUUGUCUCAUUUUAUUUAUUUUAUAUCACCAUUUAUUUCCAUUUUCUUUUUCUUUUUUAUGUCACUUAUUUUGUUUAUUCUGAAAAUAUGCCCAACAUGGACCCCAUUAUUUUUGCCUCUAGUAUUUGAUUUUGUCUUAUUUCAAGUCAUUUGGGUAUUUUUUUAGGGACUUAUGGAGUCUUGAACUCAUGUACUAAUGAAAUCCACUUAGGUCAUGAUUUGUUUGAUUUAGGGUUGAUUAAACCUUUCA